UUAAAAGGUCAUAAAUUUGAUGGUAUGUACUAUUAAUAAUCUUUGUGCUUAUUUAUUAAUGAUAGGAAGUUAUGUUAAUAAACAUAUGGCUAGCAGUAUUUGCUUUGCUCUGUACCAAAGCACGGGUGUAGUCUCGGGCACUGUAAUCAUUGUCGGUGACAGUGGGAAGGAGGACGUCCAUUGUCACGGAUGGGCGUUAUGUUGAGAAAAGGAUUUGACCUAUGGGGUCUUGAAACAGGAGCGUGCAAUUUUUUCUCUCCCGUUGCAAAGCACGGGCAUUUUUGCUAGUAAUAAUAAAGCACGGAUUGACUCCGUGGGUUCAUCGUCAUAAUACGCUUUCUCCCUGUGAUUUUACGCUUUUAGUUUAAAUUUAAAACAUAUUCGAGGUGGUACUAAAGCGUUAUUACUAAUAAAGAGGUUAUUGGUUUUCGUCUGUAUAAGUCGCUAAGUUUCUUCCGUCCGGCCCGCUUGACUGGGCCGUGUUGAUCGUUCCCUGUCAACCGCGUGAUGACUGAACUGGGCCUGGUCAACACUUCCCCUCCUACGCCAGAGAGCUUUCCCCCGCGGGCCGCGCAGGCAACUCCUCCUCCUCCUCUACCUCCGCCUCCCUGCGUCGCUCGCCGGGCCGGAGGACGACGACGAGCCCUUACUGGAAGAGGAGGAGGAGGGCACCGUCGAGCUCGUGCAGCUCGGCGCCAGCCACGGCAAGAACGUCCUCAUCCUCACGAGCGACACCGGCGGGGGUCACCGCGCCUCCUCCGAAGCCAUCAAGGACGCCUUCGGCGACGACUACCGAUCUUCGUCAAGGAUCUCUGCAAGGACCACGCCGGCGGGCCGCUCAACAACAUGGGGGGCUCUUACAAGUUCAUGGUGAAGCACGUACAACUCUGGAAGCUGCCCUUCCACGGCACAUCGCCAAGAUGGUCUGAUUCCGAUUAUACAGCACUGCGAUGCUACCUCUACUGAACACACGUGUAACUACAGUUGAAGGAUCACAAAUAUAUGGUCCAGCAAUGCACGGUAAAUCUGUAUCCAGGCAGAUUCAGUCCACCUCUUCACCACCGUGACCCACACCUACGACCUGGCUUGGUUGUGGUGCUAAUUCAGCAAUGCAAGUCUGAUCCCUUCAACUCUCAGGUGUCUUAUUCCACUACUUCAUGAUGAUGCUUGGGGAGUGGGUUCAGAGUAGGGAUGGCGGGAGCGUUUGAGUUGUACUGGCAGUCCGCCAUCGGCAGGGCCGUCAUGGAGACGCUGGACGAGAUGGUCCUUAGCCCCGAUCAUGCCAUCAGCGUCCAAGUACAGUUCGAUGAGGUCUGAUUGGCGUUUUGCUUGUCUGCGAAUCAAUCGGCAGGGCCUAUAAUAUCAGCAAAUUGUGUGUCGUUGGUUGUUUAUUCAUCAUG